GCGGGGUAAGGGGGGGGGGGCGAAGGUAGCCUUACCUGUAAUAUCCGCCCGAAUACUACAAGCGCUAGCUUAAAAUCCAAAGGACUUGGCGGUGCUCCAAACCCACCUAGAGGAGCCUGUUCUAUAACCGAUAAUCCGCGUUUAACCUUACCACCUCUUGCCCUCUCCGCCUAUAUACCGCCGUCGUCAGCUUACCCUAUGAAGGUAUAACAGUAAGCACAAUGACCUUUUUCCCUCAAUACGUCAGGUCGAGGUGUAGCGAAUGAAGUGGAAAGAAAUGGGCUACAUUCUCUCUUCAGAGUACACGAACAGAAAUAUGAAAAACUUCUUAAAGGUGGAUUUAGCAGUAAGUAAACUUUAGAACAUUAUACUGAAACCGGCUCUGGAGCGCGCACACACCGCCCGUCACCCUCUAA
rnacentral:rRNA from 1 species